CUGCAGUAAAAAGAUGGCCGU
rnacentral:siRNA from 1 species